GGAAGGGCUUGCUGUGGAGGAAACCAGAGAAGUCAGAACAAAAAGGAAAAACGUUCUCUCGGCACGUCCCAGAGGUGACAACCAGCCGGGGAUGGUUAAUUAUUUGUUACAACAAAAGAGCCAUCACUGAGCUGAUGGGAGGCUGCAGCUGCUCUGGAAGAAUUCCAGCACCAGGAGAGGGAAAGGACACGCAGGGACUGCAGGUGACACCCCAAAAGAGGGGUUACCUGCAUUUUCUGGAAGUCACUCUGGGUGAAAAAGGGCAUGAAGCCUUGGGUCUGCUCAGCCAGCACGGACAGCAGGGACACCAGCAGCAGACUGGCCACCACCUUCCUCGAAACCAUCCCGAGAGCC